rnacentral:rRNA from 1 species
ACGGAAGGCAGCAGUGAGGAAUAUUGGUCAAUGGGCGCGAGCCUGAACCAGCCACGUAGCGUGAAGGAUGACUGUCCUAUGGAUUGUAAACUUCUUUUGCGGGGGAGUAAAGUGUGCCACGUGUGGUUCAUUGCAAGUAUCCCGUGAAUAAGCAUCGGCUAACUCAGUGCCAGCAGCCGCGGUAAUACGGAGGAUGCGAGCGUUAUCCGGAUUUAUUGGGUUUAAAGGGAGCGUAGGCGGACGAUUAAGUCAGUGGUUAAAUUUUGUUGCUCAACCAUGCCGUGCCAUUGAUACUGGUUGUCUUGAGUGUACAAGAGGUGGAUGGAAUUCGAGGUGUAGCGGUGAAAUGCUUAGAUAUCUUGAAGAACUCCGAUUGCGAAGGCAGUUCACUGGGGUACAACUGACGCUGAUGCUCGAAAGUGCGGGGAUCAAACAGGAUUAGAUACCCUGGUA